GUCUUUGACAGUCAGAACUGUCAAUGCAACCCAUGCCCAGUGAGAUCAUGCUCUGUUGACCAGACCUGGAACUCUCAGUCUUGUCAAUGUGUGGCUCGCUGUCUGUCCACACAAACCUACGAUCUGUCCUCAGGAAGAUGCAUCUGUACACCUCAGAGCUGUCCUUAUGACCAGACCUGGAACACCCAGACUUGCCAAUGCGUGGCUCGCUGUACUUCCCCACUAACCUACGAUCAGACCACAGGAAGAUGCAGAUGUUCAGUUCAGAGCUGUCCUUCUGGUCAGGUCGUGGACAGUAGUCUAUGCCGCUGCGUCCCAUGCCCUGUGAGAACAUGUUCUUAUGACC